rnacentral:lncRNA from 1 species
GCAUGUUUGAAUGUGAACAUUGUGCUUUAGUUAUUGCAUAUUUUCUCUCCAAGUGAAUAUAGAACUGUAGUUAGUGCAUACUUUUAUUUCAGAUAUACAUAGCAGCUUUAGUUAUUGCAUAUUUUCUCUCCAAGUGAAUAUAGAACUGUAGUUAGUACAUACUUUUAUUUCAGAUAUACAUACCAGCUUUAGUUAUUGCAUAUUUUCUCUCCAAGUGAAUAUAGAACUGUAGUUAGUACAUACUUUUAUUUCAGAUAUACAUACCAGCUUUAGUUAUUGCAUAUUUUCUCUCCAAGUGAAUGUAGUAAUUUAGUGAUUGUAUGUUUUUUCUUUCAUGUGAAUAUUGUGACUAUAGUAACUGCAUAUUUUCUCUCCAAGUGAAUAUAGAACUGUAGUUAGUGCAUGCUUUUAUUUCAGGUAUACAUAACAGCUUUAGUUAUUGCAUAUUUUCUCUCCAUGUGAAUAUGGUGACUAUUGUUAUUUUGAGCAAGAAAAGCAAUUUUAGUAUGUAUAAAAUGUUUUGUCAGUCAGCAUGAGUGUAGUUAGCAUAGAUCUUUGUUUCAGUUGAACACAGCAGCUGUUAUUAAUUGUAUGUUUUCUCUGUUGCCGAACGUUAGCCGUAGUAAUUGUGUUUGUUUACAGGUUAGCACAGAAAAUAUAUUGAUUGUGUUUUGGUAUUUGGGAUGGAAGUGACAAUAACCAAUAUAGUGUAAAUGUCAGGAUACUCCUUUAUUAGAGUUGCAUUGUUUCAUGUCUUUCCACCAUACCUGUAUUUAGAACACAGAAACAACAGCACAGAGUUUAAGCAAAAGAUAGAUUAUGUUGUACAUGUGUGUUACAUAAUUUCAAUUUUCAUAAUUGAUCUUGAACAAAUAAUUAGAAUGGAUAUAUUUAUUUAUCAACUGUUAUAGUCUUAUGAUGUAAAAUGAUUUAUGUACAUAGUCUUUGGCUAAUUUUGAAAGUUAUUUUCUUGUAUGUGUAAUUCGUAAGUUUCCUGAUCUUUAUCAUCUGUAUGUGCAGUUAUAUAGUAACUUUUCCAUAAUUUGAUGAAAUACACAUCUCGCCUGUUUAUUAACUGUUAAAGGCUGUAUAAUUUUAGUUUCUGUGUAUAGGUAACUGAUAAAAAUAAGUUUGUUUUUAUGAAUUUAUUUUUUUACAAUUUUACAUUUAAAAUGAUUACUAGUAUAAAAGGUGAUGUCUGAAAGAAAAAAAAUGACAUAUUCUAAUGUAAUUUAACUUGAAAUGUUACAUAAUAUACAACAGAGAUAUUUUGAAGCUGUAAACCUUUAAAAGUUAUUGUUUAAAUGCUGUAAGCUGGUGGAGCAUUGUAAACCAAUAGGCCUAGCUUUUGAUAAAAAUAAUUUAAACUGUUAGAUUGAUUUUUUUUUCACACAUUCUCUUAUUGGCCCACUUUUGAUUCUAAAUCAGAAGUAUAUAAAAAUAUUUCACAUCUAUCUUUUGUUUCCCACAAGUCACUGGUGAAGAGGUCUUUUGUUUAAUUCCAGAACUUGUAAGUUUAUGUGAUUGUUAUCAUAAAAGCUAGGCAUAUUGCUUUACAAGCUUAUAUCUGUAAGUAUUGCUACAUAUCAGUAAUUACUCUGUUUAGAUGCAAAAACUGUAUAUUAAUAUAGUAUCAUUAUUAACCUAAGCAAUAUAAUAUAGAACUAAAGAAACUGGGGGGAGCACUGAUUGCAAUUUUUACUAUUUCAUAUCUCCUCUUUGGACAGUAGUCCAAGGGAAAGGUGUUUCAAGUGGAUUACUUAUUUCCUAGACUAAAAAAUCAUUGUAUUUAAAAAGUUGGAGGGGGUGUAGCUCUUCUUUCAAAUUCCUACUCCUUUGAAGGAGCAACAUUCACAGAUCAAACAUUCCCUUAACUUUGAGUCAUAAAAUUCAAUAUUGACAUGUAAUAAAAGAUGCUAGCAUUUCAAAGUGAUAUGAGUUUAUAGGACAUUAAUUAAAUGUAGUCUCUUGAAAUAUUGCUUAAUAUUUCUCUCUUAAAAGCACACACUGAACAUUAACCCAUUUAACCUAGUUCACACCAAAUGAUUGUAGUUCAAGCAGUUGAUGAGAUGAAUAACAUCUCAAUCACUACAAUGUCCAUCAUAUCCUAACCAGUUUAAUGAGCCCUGCUAUUGAGCCAAAGGCCUCUUUGGCAA